GGUUGGUCCGAUGGUGGUGAGAUUUCAAUUGAUUGCUACAGUGAGUUACAGAACCUCUACGUUUCUUCUCUCCCCUCCCUCACCACCGGCCUUGACUAGCCUUUU
ensembl:misc_RNA Y_RNA Y RNA